rnacentral:rRNA from 1 species
GAUGAACGCUGGCGGCGUGCCUAAUACAUGCAAGUCGAGCGAACAGACGAGAGUGCUUGCACUCUCUGACGUUAGCGGCGGACGGGUGAGUAACACGUGGGUAACCUACCUAUAAGACUGGGAUAACCUCGGGAAACCGGAGCUAAUACCGGAUAAUAUUUAGCUUCGCAUGAAGCAAUAGUGAAAGACGGUUCUGCUGUCACUUAUAGAUGGACCCGCGGUGUAUUAGCUAGUUGGUGAGGUAACGGCUCACCAAGGCAACGAUACAUAGCCGACCUGAGAGGGUGAUCGGCCACACUGGGACUGAGACACGGCCCAGACUCCUACGGGAGGCAGCAGUAGGGAAUCUUCCGCAAUGGACGAAAGUCUGACGGAGCAAUGCCGCGUGAGUGAAGAAGGUUUUCGGAUCGUAAAACUCUGUUGUAAGGGAAGAACAAGUACGUUAGUAACUGAACGUACCUUGACGGUACCUUACCAGAAAGCCACGGCUAACUACGUG